AGAGUUUGAUCAUGGCUCAGAGCGAACGCUGGCGGCAGGCUUAACACAUGCAAGUCGAGCGCCCCGCAAGGGGAGCGGCAGACGGGUGAGUAACACGUGGGAACGUACCCUUUGGUUCGGAACAACCCAGGGAAACUUGGGCUAAUACCGGAUAAGUCCGUAAGGAGAAAGAUUUAUCGCCAAAGGAUCGGCCCGCGUCUGAUUAGCUAGUUGGUAGGGUAAUGGCCUACCAAGGCUACGAUCAGUAGCUGGUCUGAGAGGAUGAUCAGCCACAUUGGGACUGAGACACGGCCCAAACUCCUACGGGAGGCAGCAGUGGGGAAUAUUGGACAAUGGGCGCAAGCCUGAUCCAGCCAUGCCGCGUGAGUGAUGAAGGCCUUAGGGUUGUAAAGCUCUUUUAGCGGGGAAGAUAAUGACGGUACCCGCAGAAAAAGCCCCGGCUAACUUCGUGCCAGCAGCCGCGGUAAUACGAAGGGGGCUAGCGUUGCUCGGAAUCACUGGGCGUAAAGCGCACGUAGGCGGCUUCUUAAGUCAGGGGUGAAAUCCUGGAGCUCAACUCCAGAACUGCCUUUGAUACUGAGAAGCUUGAGUCCGGGAGAGGUGAGUGGAACUGCGAGUGUAGAGGUGAAAUUCGUAGAUAUUCGCAAGAACACCAGUGGCGAAGGCGGCUCACUGGCCCGGUACUGACGCUGAGGUGCGAAAGCGUGGGGAGCAAACAGGAUUAGAUACCCUGGUAGUCCACGCCGUAAACGAUGGAUGCUAGCCGUUGGCGAGCUUGCUCGUCAGUGGCGCAGCUAACGCUUUAAGCAUCCCGCCUGGGGAGUACGGUCGCAAGAUUAAAACUCAAAGGAAUUGACGG
rnacentral:rRNA from 1 species